GGGGACGUGGAGAAAUUGGUAAACUCUGGCGACUUAAAAUCGCCCGGCUUCGGCCUUGCGGGUUCAAGUCCCGCCGUCCCCACCA
rnacentral:tRNA from 1 species